AUACCCUAUUAUUUUAAGUGUUAAUUUUACUUACCUGGGUACUAUUAGUUAAGAUCUUUAAACCCAAAGAAUUUGGCGGUAUCUCAUUCCAUUCAGAGGAACCUACCCCGUAAUUGAUAAUACACGAUUAACUUUACUUAAUUUAUUUGUUUGUAUAUCUCCGUUAUCAGAAAAUCUUAUUGGAGUUAUAAUUUUCUUGAUUUAUAAUUGUAAAGUAUUUCAGGUCAAGGUGCAGCUUAUAAUUAAGAGGAGGUGGGUUACAAUAAAUUUUUUUUUAUUAUGGAUUUAAUGGUGAAAUACCAUUAAUAAAGGUGGAUUUGAUAGUAAUUUAAUUUAGUUAAUUUAAUUGAUAUUGGCUCUGAGGUGUGUACACAUCGCCCGUCGCUCUCA
rnacentral:rRNA from 1 species